UACGGGAGGCAGCAGUGGGGAAUAUUGCACAAUGGGCGCAAGCCUGAUGCAGCCAUGCCGCGUGUAUGAAGAAGGCCUUCGGGUUGUAAAGUACUUUCAGUCGUGAGGAAGGUGUUAAGGUUAAUAACCUUAGCAAUUGACGUUAGCGACAGAAGAAGCACCGGCUAACUCCGUGCCAGCAGCCGCGGUAAUACGGAGGGUGCGAGCGUUAAUCGGAAUUACUGGGCGUAAAGGGCACGCAGGCGGUUAAUUAAGUUGGAUGUGAAAUCCCCGGGCUUAACCUGGGAAUGGCAUUCAAGACUGGUUAGCUAGAGUCUUGUAGAGGGGGUAGAAUUCCAUGUGUAGCGGUGAAAUGCGUAGAGAUGUGGAGGAAUACCGGUGGCGUAGGCGGCCCCGUGGACAAAGACUGACGCUCAUGUGCGAAAGCGUGGGGAGCAAACAGGAUUAGAUACC
rnacentral:rRNA from 1 species